rnacentral:tRNA from 1 species
AAAAUCCGUCGACUUUAGAAAUCGUGAGGGUUCAAGUCCCUCUAUCCCCCCAAAAAGACCGAUUUGACUAUUUCUCCUACCCUCUCUUUUUUUUAGUGGUUCAAAAUUCGUUCUCUUUCUCAUUCAUUCUACCUUUUUACAAACGUAUCAGAGCAGAAUUUUUUUUUCUUUUAUCACAAUCACAAGUGGUGUGGUAUAUAUGAUAUACGUACAAAUGAACAUCUUUGAACAAAGAAUCCCGAUUCACAAUUCAUAUCAUUGCUCAUACUGAAACUUAUAAAUUAUUCUAUUCAAGAAAUCGAAUUCCACGCUCAAGACUUUUAAUACUUUUUUUAUCUUUUUUAAUUGACAUAGACCCCAGUCAUCUAGUAAAAUGGGGAUGAUGCGCCGGUAAUGGUCGGGAUAGCUCAGCUGGUAGAGCAGAGGACUGAAAAUCCU